CGUCCCGCAGGAGCAGCGCCGAGGGUCGGGGCGGCUGGAGGUGGCCGAAGGCGCUCGGCGAGGAGUUCGCCCGUGGGCUCGAUGGCUCUGGCCCGCCCGGGAACCGGCCGCUCAUCUCCUUGGGCCUCGCGGCGCCGAACAAGAUGGCGUUGCGAGGCGCGGCGUCGUUAGGAAUGCAUCGCAGAUCGUUCGCGUGGCCGGUCACCGCGCACCUCUGCCUCCACGGAGCUCACGAAGCUCGUUCCUCAGAACAUACCUGUACUGUGUCGGAGCCAAUGCUGGAUUGGCUUAAAUACACGUUUUUAGGUGUAUACCUGCGCGCGGGUAUGGAUGUAAGGUAAACCGGCACACGGAGAAGAAAGCUGUGGCUGGGUCCUUUGGGGUGUGAGCCACAGGCAUGCACAGCUCCGUGGCUGUAAAUCCCAUCAGCUGUGGCGGCAACGUCUCGUUGCAGAUAAGUUGGCCUUUCACGAUACGUUCUUGAAUCCCGCUCUGCGAGGGUGGGUGGGUUAGGCGGCUUUUUUAAGCUGAGACCCUGCAAGAAGAGCAUAGAUGUGCCAAACGGGCUAAUGGCAUGGACACACGGAAACGGGAAAAUCAUGCUGUGCUGUAGCCUGUGCUCUGGCAUGUCGGAAUGGUGGCAUCCAGUGAGCGGUAUGGAAAUAGUCCUUCUCCCUCCCUAGUCCCCAAGGGCUCCAGAAAUGUCAAGCUCUUGUUUAUGCAAAUGGCUCUUCUGUUUUUAUAUUGAGAACAGAGGAAAUAUUUCAGUUAUUUGACUAAUCCAACAACAAAAAAAAAAUAAAAAGUGCUGUUUACGUAUUCAAAGCCUGCAGCUUUCCUUCAGUCCUUCGAAUGCCCUGGGGGAAAGCUCAGACAUCUGCACUGCAGGGUAAGUGAGCCACUAAGUAUUUCUGAGAGGUGGCUCAACAAUGAUCUUUGGAAGUAUUUGUAUUUAAGGGACACAUGACACGAAGCUUUUAAAAUGUACACUUCCCUAAAGUCAGUGGAAGAACUUUGGCCCAGUGCAGUGAUUUGCAUUCAUCUGUAGGAUAGAUGCCAUCAAUUUAUAUGCUGUGGGUUAAUUUCACAGCCAGGACUUUUACGAAUGUCUGGCUUUUAACAUGUAAGUUAAAAUCCUGAGGAAAACAUUAAAAUCUACAAAAAGACCUUAGGUCUGCAUAUUUUCCAUAUACACAAGUUUUCUAUUGAAAACAGGCUUGAACAAACAGCCUCCUAGCUUAAAUUCAGAUCCAGACAUGAACUUCACUCCUGCCUUAUGGCACAAACCAAACUUCCCAGUCCUACCACUGCCAGGCGCUGGAGUUUGAAAUUUGGGUGUGCACUUCCCCAGCGUUUAGACUUCAGCCUACUCAGAGGAAAAAAUGGCUUCAGGGUUAAAACCAAGAGAUGAAGCAAUACCUGGGACCACACUGGGGUCAGUGCUGUUUGGGUGUGCCUGUCCUGGAUCCUCAGUCUCCAAAGAACAGCUUUCUAGACCUUUCUGUUUCUUGUUGAAGUGAUGGUGAUGAACCCUAAGGUGCUGUAAAGAACGGUUGCCUCUAAGUGAUCUUGUGUGGUGGCUGAAGAGUAAUGAUUUACUGAAGCAGAAUCAGUCUGGUGGACAAGGGUGAUGGCAUCACUUGCCUACAGAGUUUGCUGAAACUAAGGAAUGAAUACAGCAUUAAGUGCAAAUAGGAUCUGAGGCAGUUAUAGCUCUGACCACUUGGUCCCUAUACAUCCUGGGAUCCUGAGGACCCCAAAUCAUCAUCGAGAUUCUAUAAAGUUACUCUUUGUAAUGACAUAGAAUAUAUACCAGAGAUCCAGGCAGCAACAUGGAUUUGCUAGUUGUAAAUAUAUCAAGGAUGGCGGGCCUGUCCGACAGUGAGAUAAAGGAAGAGUUUUCUUUUAAGUGUAAUCCCAUCGGAUCAUGCAAAUGAAUCUAAGAGUAAAAAAAUCUGGAGAGGAGAUGACUCAGAAGAGAGCUGGUAACCACUGCAGAUUUAUCAUCAUGCAGAUGACUCUUAACAUAUCUCUUUUGUUUGCUCGAGGUAUUGAUUCAGCCACCAUGUGAUCUUUGGAGGCCCACCUUGUUUAUAGUGCCUCUCACCAGCCAAAAAAACCACUGACCUUAUCACAAUGACAAAAACUUCCAGGUAGGUAUAAGCAUUGAGAAAACACAUCUAUGGCACCUGAUAACUGUAAGGACCCCUUUGCUAGGACUUCCAGCUCAACACAACAGUGGUACACAUGGACACUGCGAAUAGAGGCACUUCAGAACGUGAAGAUCUGUCCGCAGAGCCCUCUGGUGGAAGUACCAUCUAGAAGCCCAGAAAGUGAGCGAUUAUUGACUCCUCCUGAUUUACGUGUGGAAAGCUGAAGCACAAAGACAGCAGGCACAAAAUGAGCAAGCAGAGACGAGGCCAGGGCAGAGACUGCCUUGCCCAAAGGUCACCAGUUGUCUGUCAUGUAACAUGUACUGCCUCCCAGUCAGCUGUGCUAAGAUGCUACAGAUGGAGGGCCUGGUUUGUUACGAGACUUGGCCACUGUUACUAAACAUCUUGUCAUUGCUAAAAUAGCCUUAGUUCCACUUUCAGGGCCAAGACACCAAGAAGCAGCUACCAUUUUAAAUGCUGUGUCAUGCAACCACUGCAGGGCUGACCCAACACCAGGAGCAGUAUGCUGUCAGCACAGCAACAAGAAGGGCAUUCAAGGUAAUGAGAAACUGGGUAAAAUUAAAACUGGCAAAAGAAAUUUUUCCACACUACCAUGGAACUGGAUUCAGGAGCUUGUGGUAAGAGGAUGCCACUGAGGCCAAGAAUUUAGUGUUUUGGUUUUUCUCUCUAGAAGAAUAGGAGGUACAAUCAGUCAGAACAAGUGACCGAGAGCCCUGAGAGUCCCUGAUUAUUGGGAGACUGUUAAAAGACUGCCUAUGUACAGGCUGACUCAGCGCUGACUGAGAGAUAUGCCAGCCAUUGACUGUGGGAAGACCAGCUCUGCUUUUGCUAUGAACGUAAGAAAAUCCUGGUGACUUUACACUGUGGGCAAGGAUGACCUGUAGCAUAAUGCCGAGACACUUCAAUAGUUUUCCCUCUAAAGGAUACAUGAAACUCCUGGGGGUCUGUGAGGAAUACCAGGAGCCCACGAGAGCCUUUUCCCAAGAGCCAGCAUUAUUGAAGUGCAGUGGGUGGGCAGAGAUCCUCCACCCUUGGCAGUUCAGUGCAAAUAUAGCCAAAUAUAGGCAGAAAGAAUCCUGAUUUCUGGAGAAUGAAAAAGGGAGCGAUGGAAGAGAGUAGCAGCAUCCCUCUCGAGAAUCCACUUCCCUCCAUCCCCAUAGCAAGCUUCUCUGCAGGCAAGACUAGGGUUAAUAGGAAACAUAUGGGAGGAGAGUCUGUGGUCCAGGGCUCCAGGAUGAGCAGCUGAAGCGCUAAGGAGCUACCUGGACCCCAUUCAGGAGUGAGCUCAGGGAUAAAACAUCUCAUGAAUGGGGAGUGGGCUGGGUGGGGAACUUAAAAGGUACAGGCUCCAGUUUGGUGCUUCCCACCCUCUUAGGGCAACAUGCCAGUCUGAGAGGAACAUUCCAGUUCCAGCACAACAAAGCAUGAGAGUCACUAACCAUACCCUGCAUCUUCCAUGCAGCAUCUCUUUCCCUCCCCACCCAAAUUAAAUUGUUAGAACUGGACUCACAGUAAGCCAUUAGGGUUCCAGUGUGCUAGUCCAUUCUGUUCUCAAGCUCUGAAGCCUUAAGGUGCUUCCAUGAAGCUACAUCUGCAAGCAAUGGACUGGUAGCAAAAUCAAAUGCUCUGGUGGAGCUGAAAACUGAAUUCAGACGCUGUAUCUCAACCCCUCCAUGGAAUUUGGUGGAUACAGAUUCCCCCACCUCACUGAGGACACAGCCAGGGCUCUCCACUGUUUUACAGUGUGUAUGUACAAAUAAACCC